rnacentral:rRNA from 1 species
UACAGAGGAUGCAAGCGUUAUCCGGAAUCACUGGGCAUAAAGCGUCUGUAGGUGGUUUGGUAAGUCUGCUGUUAAAGACUGGGGCUCAACCCCAGAAAAGCAGUGGAAACUGCUAGACUUGAGUGUGGUAGAGGUAGAGGGAAUUCCUAGUGUAGCGGUGAAAUGCGUAGAUAUUAGGAAGAACACCAAUGGCGAAGGCACUCUACUGGGCCAUAACUGACACUGAGAGACGACAGCUAGGGGAGCAAAUGGG